rnacentral:ribozyme from 1 species
GAAAAUUCUUGGGACUUAUUCUUAGUAGGGUCCGAAGCAUCUUGCAAGUUAACACAGGUUCUCCUACUCAACUCCUAUUCCGACACGUCCUCGUCGUGCAGAGUGGCAGCACACUUCAUCAAUUAAUCCAAGCAUGGGUAUACGGGUUUGUCCUACCCCCUUGGGCGGAUUGUGAUAUGCGGUGAAAGAGAGGGGA